CAACAGGGAUUGCCUCAGUAACGGCGAGUGAAGCGGCAAAAGCUCAAAUUUGAAAUCUGGCCCCCCCCGCGGGGGUCCGAGUUGUAAUUUGCAGAGGAUGCUUUGGGCGCGGCGCCUUCCGAGUGCCUUGGAACAGGUCGCCUCAGAGGGUGAGAGCCCCGUACGGUUGGACGCCUAGCCCGUGUAAAGCUCCUUCAACGAGUCGAGUAGUUUGGGAAUGCUGCUCAAAAUGGGAGGUAAAUUCCUUCUAAAGCUAAAUACUGGCCAGAGACCGAUAGCGCACAAGUAGAGUGAUCGAAAGGUGAAAAGCACUUUGAAAAGAGAGUCAAAUAGCACGUGAAAUUGUUAAAAGGGAAGCGUCUGCGACCAGACGCGCCGCCCGCGGCUCACCCGGCGCCUCGGCGCCGGGGCACGCCGCGGGCGUCGGGCCAGCAUCGGCUCUGCCGUGGGUACAAGGACCGCGGGAACGUAGCUCCCUCGUGGAGUGUUAUAGCCCGCGGCACCAUGCCCGCGGCGGGGCCGAGGACCGCGCCCGCAAGGGCAAGGAUGCUGGCGUAAUGGCCGCCGGCGACCCGUCUUGAAACACGGACCAAGGAGUCAAGCAGUGGGGCGAGUGUACGGGUGCCAAACCCGCGCGCGAAAUGAAAGUAAACGCAGGUGGGAGCCUCCGGGCGCACCACCGACCGAUCCUGACGUUCUCUGAUGGAUUUGAGUAGGAGCCCUACUGCUUGGACCCGAAAGAUGGUGAACUAUGCCUGUAUAGGGUGAAGCCAGAGGAAACUCUGGUGGAGGCUCGCAGCGG
rnacentral:rRNA from 1 species